AUGCUCGACGCAAUCAGACACAUCGAUCCGACGGCGCCGGUGUACCAUUGGAAAAUCAAUAGGUGUGAUGCUGUCUUGCGGGAAGUCAUGGGAGAAAAUCUUCACAAGGAAGUGAUCCUCGCGUCGCCAAAGGAGGACGAAGGCGAUUUUGGCUGCACCGUCAUCUGUGGGAAUGAAGUUCUUCACGGAGUUGCCAACUUCAUGGUUAUAAGCAGCAAGGUGUCUCAGUCUCUUCAGGAGAAAUCCCUUCACAUUAAAAAUCGGGGGAUCACGUGGUCAUGCACUCUUAAGAGGAUUAGUGCAGCGGACUGUGUUCUGCAAGUGUUGUUGACUCGACACCUCUUGAGUCAAGACUGGUUCAGAGAAAUUGGUAACUGA
rnacentral:rRNA from 1 species